rnacentral:rRNA from 1 species
AAGCGUUUGCAACCAGACUUGCACGUUGCUGAUCAUCCGGUGUUCUCACCGGUGCACUCAGUUUCGUUCAGGCCAGCAUCGGUUUGGGUGGUUAGAUAAAGGCCUUGGGAAUGUGGCUUUUCGGAGUGUUAUAGCCCAAGGUGCAAUGUAGCCAACCUGGACCGAGGACCGCGCUUCGGCUAGGAUGCUGGCGUAAUGGUUGUAAA